GCCGCCAUCGUCUAGUGGCCCAGGACGGUUGAUUCUCAAUCAACAAAUCGAGGGUUCGAAUCCCUCUGGCGGCA
rfam:Microgenomates (Gottesmanbacteria) bacterium GW2011_GWA1_48_13 TY27_C0003, whole genome shotgun sequence.